rnacentral:rRNA from 1 species
UUUUAUUUGAGAGUUUGAUCCUGGCUCAGGAUGAACGCUGGCGGCGUGCCUAACACAUGCAAGGUGAGUGAUGUACUUCGGUAAAGAGCGGCGGACGGGUGAGUAACGCGUGGGUAACCUACCCUGUACACACGGAUAACAUACCGAAAGGUAUGCUAAUACGGGAUAAUAUAUUUGAGAGGCAUCUCUUGAAUAUCAAAGGUGAGCCAGGACAGCAUGGACCCGCGUCUGAUUAGCUAUUUGGUAAGGUAACGGCUUACCAAGGCGACGAUCAGGAGCCGACGUGCGAGGGUGAUCGGCCACAUUGGAACUGAGACACGGUCCAAACUCCUACGGGAGGCAGCAGUGGGGAAUAUUGCACAAUGGGCGAAAGCCUGAUGCAGCAACGCCGCGUGAGUGAUGAAGGCCUUCGGG